UCCUAGCCGUAAACGAUGUUCACUAAGUGUGGGGCACUUAAGUGCUCCGUGCUGAAGCAAACGCGAUAAGUGAACCGCCUGGGGAGUACGGCCGCAAGGUUGAAACUCAAAGGAAUUGACGGGGGCCCGCACAAGCGGUGGAGCGUGUGGUUUAAUUCGACGCAACACGAAGAACCUUACCAAGGCUUGACAUGUAGGUAGUAGGAAGCCGAAAGGCGACCGACCCUUCGGGG
rnacentral:rRNA from 1 species